rnacentral:tRNA from 1 species
UCCCUGGUGGUCCAGUGGCUAAGACUCCAUGCUCCCAAUGCAGGGGGCCUGGGUUCGAUCCCUAGUCAGGGAA